GACCAACCAAGUUUGUUCUGGGUAUAAGCUUUCAUGUGCAUGCACACGAAAGCUUAUACCCAGAACAAACUUAGUUGAUC